rnacentral:rRNA from 1 species
GAUGAACGCUGGCGGCGUGCCUAAUACAUGCAAGUAGAACGCUGAAGGAGGAGCUUGCUCUUCUGGAUGAGUUGCGAACGGGUGAGUAACGCGUAGGUAACCUGCCUGGUAGCGGGGGAUAACUAUUGGAAACGAUAGCUAAUACCGCAUGACAACAGUUAUUGCAUGAUAACUGUUUAAAAGGGGCAACUGCUCCACUACCAGAUGGACCUGCGUUGUAUUAGCUAGUUGGUGAGGUAACGGCUCACCAAGGCGACGGUACAUAGCCGACCUGAGAGGGUGAUCGGCAACACUGGGACUGAGAGACGGCCCAGACUCCUACGGGAGGGAGCAGUAGGGAAUCUUCGGCAAUGGACGGAAGUCUGACCGAGCAACGCCGGGGGAGUGAAGAAGGGUGUCGGAUCGUAAAGCUCUGUUGUAAGAGAAGAACGAGUGUGAGAGUGGAAAGUUCACACUGUGACGGUAUCUUACCAGAAAGGGACGGCUAACUACGUG